UACGGAGGGUGCGAGCGUUGUCCGGAUUUAUUGGGUUUAAAGGGUGCGUAGGUGGUUUCUUAAGUCUGGUUUGAAAGCUGGUGGCUCAACAAUCAGAUGUGGCUGGAAACUGGGGGACUUGAAUGGGUUGGCGGUCGCCGGAACGGGUCAUGUAGCGGUGAAAUGCAUAGAUAUGACCCAGAACCCCGAUUGCGAAGGCAGGCGACUAGGACCACAAUUGACACUGAGGCACGAGAGCAUGGGGAGCGAACAGG
rnacentral:rRNA from 1 species